UCAGACGGCCGGGCGGUCGCGGCGGAGGUUAUGCCCUCGUCGAGGAAAGUCCGGGCUCCACGGUGAAGAGGCGGCGGGCAACACCCGCCCGGGGCGACCCGAGGGAUAGCGCCACAGAAAGCAAACCUCCGGCCUCGCGAGGCCGGUAAGGGUGAAAGGGUGGGGUAAGAGCCCACCGCGUGCCUGGCAACAGGGACGGCAUGGCAAGCCCCGCCUGGAGCAAGACCGAAUAGGGAUGUCGCGCGGCCUUCAGGAUUCGUCCUGGGGCCGCAGGGUUCACCGCCCGAGGCGUCCGGGUAGGUCGCGAGAACCGUCCGGCAACGGGCGGUCCAGAGGAAUGAUCGUCGCCGUCCUCCGGGGCGGAACAGAACCCGGCUUACAGGCCGUCUGACAUU
rnacentral:RNase_P_RNA from 1 species